rnacentral:rRNA from 1 species
CGCGAGGGUUUGCUCGUCGACCAAGAACCAAAGUUGGAGUAUCGAUAACGAUUAGACACCGUUGUAGUUCCAACCACAAACGUUGCCGACAGUCUGUGGGGCGACGCGUCUUCGGACGGGUCGGCUCCGCGGACAGCGCGAAAGCAUAGUCACCGGGUCGCUUGGAGAGUAUGCUGCCAACAGUGAAAUUUAAAGGGAUUGACGGGGUCUCCCACAAGGACUGGAAUCUACGGUUUAAUUUGAUUCUACACAGGACAACUUACCAGGGCAUAGUCGCGUGCGAGGUGCGGACGCAAGGCGUAGCAGAGGGUGCAGACCGGCGCCGAUCGCGGCAAGGCUUGUGCAUGGCCACCCUAAGCUGAUGGAGUGAUCUCCAGGUUAAUUCCGACAAUCAGCGAGACCCGAACACACAGUUCCGUGAGGCUGAGUGCACUGACGUUCAAACUGUAGGGAGGAU